rnacentral:rRNA from 1 species
CAGUCGCCGCGGUAACACCGAGGAUGCAAGCGUUAUCCGGAAUGAUUGGGCGUAAAGCGUCUGUAGGUGGCUCUUCAAGUCCGCCGUCAAAUCCCAGGGCUCAACCCUGGACAGGCGGUGGAAACUACCAAGCUGGAGUACGGUAGGGGCAGAGGGAAAUUCCGGUGGAGCGGUGAAAUGCGUUGAGAUCGGAAAGAACACCAACGGCGAAGGCACUCUGCUGGGCCGACACUGACACUGAGAGACGAAAGCUAGGGGAGCAAAUGGGAUUAGAUACCCCCGUAGUCCCUGUCUCUUAUAU